rnacentral:rRNA from 1 species
AUUGAACGCUGGCGGCAUGCCUUACACAUGCAAGUCGAACGGCAGCACGGGAGCAAUCCUGGUGGCGAGUGGCGAACGGGUGAGUAAUAUAUCGGAACGUGCCCAGUCGUGGGGAUAACGUAGCGAAAGCUACGCUAAUACCGCAUACGAUCUAUGGAUGAAAGCGGGGGAUCGCAAGACCUCGCGCGAUUGGAGCGGCCGAUAUCAGAUUAGGUAGUUGGUGAGGUAAAGGCUCACCAAGCCGACGAUCUGUAGCUGGUCUGAGAGGAUGAUCAGCCACACUGGGACUGAGACACGGUCCAGACUCCUACGGGAGGCAGCAGUGGGGAAUAUUGGACAAUGGGCGGCAAGCCUGAUCCAGCCAUGCCGCGUGUGUGAAGAAGGCCUCGG